rnacentral:piRNA from 1 species
UCCCUUGAAUAGGAGCCAGGUAAUGAUGUA